CGUAGGGUCCAAGCGUUAUCCGGAAUUACUGGGCGUAAAGAGUUGCGUAGGUGGCAUUGUAAGUUGAUAGUGAAAGCGUUCGGCUCAACCGGAUAUCCAUUAUCAAAACUGCAAAGCUAGAGGACGAGAGAGGUUAUUGGAAUUCCCUGUGUAGGAGUGAAAUCCGUAGAUAUAGGGAGGAACACCGAUGGCGUAGGCAGAUAACUGGCUCGUUCUGACACUAAGGCACGAAAGCGUGGGUAGCAAACGGGAUU
rnacentral:rRNA from 1 species